CUAGCCGACCACUAUGCCAGGGCUGAGAAACAACCUGUUGUGUCCAAGCCAACUUGGAUUCCAAGUUAGUUUUAGAUAUAUUUUGAUGUCAGAAACUUGGAGAACAGGUAGUUUGAUUUUAUUAUUUAGAGUUUCAGCGUUCAAAAUGAGGCGCGUUAUUGUCUUUAUGAUGUUUCUUUUUCAGAACCUUUAUUCAGGUUUGGAAUAUACAGAAUUCAGCUUUAAGCCUCCUAUACAGAUGUGUUGGUCGAUUUGGUAUUCAUUAGUCAGUGAAUGCUUUCCAAGAUAUCAGUCCAAAUGUACAACUGUGCAUAAUUGUGUCAGCAACAUCUUUGUUGCCCUUAUUUUCUACCCGGCCGCCACCAUGGCUGCGCUCGUUCAGUUCAUAUUCUAUCAUUUAAUACACUCAUUGUCUUCUCAGGAUAUGGAGAAAGAAAUCAGGAAACAAGUAGAUGACGCCAUUGCUAAAGCAAAGGAAAGUUCUAUGCCUGAUACUUCUGAACUCUUCACAAAUGUUU